rnacentral:rRNA from 1 species
AGUGAACGCUGGCGGUAGGCCUAACACAUGCAAGUCGAACGGCAGCACAGUAAGAGCUUGCUCUUACGGGUGGCGAGUGGCGGACGGGUGAGGAAUACAUCGGAAUCUACUUUUUCGUGGGGGAUAACGUAGGGAAACUUACGCUAAUACCGCAUACGACCUACGGGUGAAAGCAGGGGAUCUUCGGACCUUGCGCGAUUGAUUGAGCCGAUGUCGGAUUAGCUAGUUGGCGGGGUAAAGGCCCACCAAGGCGACGAUCCGUAGCUGGUCUGAGAGGAUGAUCAGCCACACUGGAACUGAGACACGGUCCAGACUCCUACGGGAGGCAGCAGUGGGGAAUAUUGGACAAUGGGCGCAAGCCUGAUCCAGCCAUACCGCGUGGGUGAAGAAGGCCUUCGGGUUGUAAAGCCCUUUUGUUGGGAAAGAAAAGCAGCAGGUUAAUACCCCGCUGUUCUGACGGUACCCAAAGAAUAAGCAUCGGCUAACUUCGUG